GUUUCAGCUUUCACAGCUCGCAGCAUCCUUAUAUGGCUACCGUCCAAGUUACCUACAGCUGUUCCCUCAGCAGUCUAUGCCACCUUUGUCAAGACCAUCCCUCUGGCAGCAGCAGAUGCCGGCACAUGAAGCCACCAGAUUCCCUUCACAGAAUCCACACAGGUUGCCUCAGCAACCUUCAGCAGCCAGGAGGCCAAACAGCAGGCCGCAACCCAAGCUACAGUUACCCCCACAACAACCGACACAUCAAGUUCAACAGCCCCAAAUCAAAGUACAGCAACCACCCAAACUGCCUCCAAGUGCUGCGGACCCUUCUCAACCUCAACCACAACUGCCUGAUCUGCAGUCCAAGGUGGGUAAGCCACAACACCCAUAGGCAUUUCUUCCACAUCAGCAACAGCCCUGGCAUUUUCCACAGAUGUUCGGUCAUGGAGGCUUCCAGCCGCAAAUGUUCGGCCCAUAUCAGGGAGUAAGACAUACCAUUUAAAGGCUUCUUGGUUCCCAGUGAUGGUGGUGGUGGGGAGUCAUUUAAGACCUUAUCUCCUGAUGCA
rnacentral:lncRNA from 1 species